AACGAACGCUGGCGGCGUGGAUAAGACAUGCAAGUCGAACGGGACAGACCGAGUAGCAAUAUUUGGAAUGUUCAGUGGCGAACGGGUGCGUAACACGUGGAUAACAUUCCGGAAAGCGGGGAAUAGCCCAGGGAAACUUGGAUUAAUACCGCAUGUGGCCGCAAGGCUAAAGACGGGGACCGCAAGGCCUGUCACUUUCCGAUUGGUCCGCGGCCUAUCAGCUAGUUGGCGGGGUAAUGGCCCACCAAGGCUACGACGGGUAGCUGGUCUUAGAGGACGACCAGCCACACUGGAACUGAGAAACGGUCCAGACACCUCCGGGUGGCAGCAGUCGAGAAUCUUUCACAAUGGGGGCAACCCUGAUGGAGCGACGCCGCGUGGAGGAUAAGGUCUUCGGAUUGUAAACUCCUGUCAUGCGAGAACAAGGUACUCAGGCUAAUAACCUGAUUGUUUGAUGGUACCGCAAGAGGAAGAGACGGCUAACUCUGUGCCAGCCGCCGCGGUAAAAC
rnacentral:rRNA from 1 species